rnacentral:lncRNA from 1 species
AUGUAAGUCUAAAAGUUAAGGUGAUCAAGUGUAUAUAAGUUUUGAGUUAAACUAAGGAGAUUACGCUCGGAAAACGAAUAAAAGAAUUGAGGUGCUUGUUGGACUUUAUAAAGCUACCAGGUGUCACCUCCUUGCUUAGCUCAAAUGGGCUAGGUAGAUGGGGAAGAUUAGUUCAUGCAUUAGUGGGCUCACUUGAGGCCCAA